UUUGCUAGUAUUUUGUUGACAUUUUGCAUCAGUGUUCAUAAGGGGGAUAGUCUGUAGUUUUCUUUCCUUAUGGUGUCUUG